rnacentral:misc_RNA from 1 species
GAUGAAGAACGUAGCGAAAUGCGAUAAGUAAUGUGAAUUGCAGAAUUCAGUGAAUCAUCGAAUCUUUGAACGCACAUUGCGCCCGCUAGUACUCUAGCGGGCAUGCCUGUUCGAGCGUCAUUUCAACCCUCAAGCCCUGCUUGGUGCUGGGGCCCUACGGCUGCCGUAGGCCCUGAAAGGAAGUGGCGGGCUCGCUACAACUCCGAGCGUAGUAAUUCAUUAUCUCGCUUAGGGUGUUGUGCGGUGCUCCAGCCGUUAAAGACCAUCUUUAACUCAAGGUUGACCUCGGAUCAGGUAGGAAUACCCGCUGAACUUAAGCAUAUCAAUAAGCGGAGGA